GAUGAACGCUGGCUACAGGCUUAACACAUGCAAGUCGAGGGGAAACGACGGGGAAGCUUGCUUCCCUGGGCGUCGACCGGCGCACGGGUGAGUAACGCGUAUCCAACCUGCCUCUGACUGAGGGAUAACCCGUCGAAAGUCGGCCUAAUACCUCAUGGCAUCGUCUGCGGGCAUCCAACGACGAUUAAAGAUUUCAUCGGUCAGGGAUGGGGAUGCGUCUGAUUAGCUAGUUGGCGGGGUAACGGCCCACCAAGGCGACGAUCAGUAGGGGUUCUGAGAGGAAGGUCCCCCACAUUGGAACUGAGACACGGUCCAAACUCCUACGGGAGGCAGCAGUGAGGAAUAUUGGUCAAUGGGCGAGAGCCUGAACCAGCCAAGUAGCGUGCAGGAUGACGGCCCUAUGGGUUGUAAACUGCUUUUAUGCGGGGAUAAAAUGAAGGACGGUUCUU
rnacentral:rRNA from 1 species